rnacentral:rRNA from 1 species
GUGGGGAAUCUUAGACAAUGGGCGCAAGCCUGAUCUAGCCAUGCCGCGUGAGCGAUGAAGGCCUUAGGGUUGUAAAGCUCUUUCGUGGGGGAAGAUAAUGACUGUACCCCAAGAAGAAGCCCCGGCUAACUCCGUGCCAGCAGCCGCGGUAAUACGGAGGGGGCUAGCGUUGUUCGGAAUUACUGGGCGUAACGCGCACUAUGGCGGACUGAAAAGUCAGGGGUGAAAUACCGGGGCUCAAACCCGGAACUGCCUUUGAAACUCCCAGUCUUGAGGUCGAGAGAGGUGAGUGGAAUUCCGAGUGUAGAGGUGAAAUUCGUAGAUAUUCGGAGGAACACCAGUGGCGAAGGCGGCUCACUGGCUCGAUACUGACGCUGAGGUGCGAAAGCGUGGGGAGCAAACAGGAUUAGAAACCCUUGUAGUCC